rnacentral:rRNA from 2 species
GCGCGAAACCUCCGCAAUGUACGAAAGUGCGACGGGGGGAUCCCAAGUGUUAUGCUUAAUAGUAUGACUUUUCAUUAGUGUAAAAAGCUUUUAGAAUAAGAGCUGGGCAAGACCGGUGCCAGCCGCCGCGGUAACACCGGCAGCUCAAGUGGUAACAAUUUUUAUUGGGCCUAAAGCGUCCGUAGCCGGUUUAAUAAGUCUCUGGUGAAAUCCUGUAGCUUAACUGUGGGAAUUGCUGGAGAUACUAUUAGACUUGAGACCGGGAGAGGUUAGAGGUACUCCCAGGGUAGAGGUGAAAUUCUGUAAUCCUGGGAGGACCGCCUGUUGCGAAGGCGUCUAACUGGAACGGUUCUGACGGUGAGGGACGAAAGUUAGGGGCGCGAACCGG